rnacentral:lncRNA from 1 species
AUCACCCUCCCCAUGGCCCACGUGAAGAUUGUGCCACAGCAGCUGCAUGGCUUCCAGAACAGACCUGCUGACCCUGGAGCUGACCGCCUGUGCCGGUGACCCCUCCCCAUCGAUGCACCGAGCAGCCUCUCCCCAGAUUCAAACACCUGAGCAGAGUAGGGGAGUCUCCGCUGACAGCGCGUGCCCAGAAGGCAACUGUGGCUCCGGAGUUUCUGUUCUUUGGCUCCCUGAAGGAUCUCAAGGAAUGAUUAGGACAAAGGUUCUGCCCAGCUCCUUCUGCCUGGAAGGCCCAGUUCUUCUCCGCCUGGCCAGCAUCCCACUGCAGGGACACGUCGCCUGGCAGCUGAGCAGUCAGAUUACCAGGAGCUCACAUCUGGGUCCAAACCAUUCCCAAGGCCAAGGCCAGAGAGCCUCCCUGGAGCCUGAAUGGGCUUACACAGAGGCGGUACUGUCUGUUAAAUUCACUCAUUCAACAGGUAUUUAUUGAGCAAGCACUAUACCCUAGGCUCCAGGGGUGCAGGGGACUUCAAAGCGGAGUGGGGGAGGGGGAGCUUGUGGGUGGCUCAGUAGGUUAAUCAUGGGACUCUUGAUUUUGGCUCAGGUCAUGAUCUCAGAGUCCUGGGAUUGAGCCUCAUCGGGAUAAGCGGUCAGCAUUGGGUC